UACGUAGGGUGCAAGCGUUAAUCGGAAUUACUGGGCGUAAAGCGUGCGCAGGCGGUGAUGUAAGACAGAUGUGAAAUCCCCGGGCUCAACCUGGGAACUGCAUUUGUGACUGCAUCGCUGGAGUACGGCAGAGGGGGAUGGAAUUCCGCGUGUAGCAGUGAAAUGCGUAGAUAUCGGAAGGAACACCAGUGGCGAAAGCGGCUUCCUGGUCCGACACCGACGUUCAGGCACGAAAGCGUGGGGAGCAAACAGG
rnacentral:rRNA from 1 species